GAUGAACGCUGGCGGCGUGCCUAAUACAUGCAAGUCGAGCGAACGGACGAGAAGCUUGCUCCUCUGAUGUUAGCGGCGGACGGGAGAGUAACACGUGGAUAACCUACCUAUAAGACUGGGAUAACUUCGGGAAACCGGAGCUAAUAACGGAUAAUAUUUUGAACCGCAUUGUUCAAAAGUGAAAGACGGUCUUGCUGUCACUAAUAGCUGGAUCCGCGCUCCAUGAGCUAGUUGGUAAGGUAACGGCUUACCAAGGCAACGAUGCAUAGCCGACCUGAGAGGGUGAUCGGCCACCCGGGAACUGAGAAAGGGCACAGACUCCGACGGGAGGCAGCAGUAGGGAAUCUUACGCAAGGGGCGAAAGCCUGACGGAGCAACGCCGCGUGAGUGAUGAAGGUCUUCGGAUCGUAAAACUCUGUUAUUAGGGAAGAACAUAUGUGUAAGUAACUGUGCACAUCUUGACGGUACCUAAUCAGAAAGCCACGGCUAACUACGUG
rnacentral:rRNA from 1 species